rnacentral:rRNA from 1 species
UACGGAGGGUGCAAGCGUUAUCCGGAAUCACUGGGCGUAAAGGGCGCGUAGGCGGUCUGUUAAGUCCGAUGUUAAAUCCCGGGGCUCAACCCCGGAUCAGCGUUGGAUACUGGCAGGCUCGACGGUUGGAGAGGCGAGUGGAAUUACCAGUGUAGCGGUGGAAUGCGUAGAUACUGGUAGGAACACCCAUUGCGAAGGCAGCUCGCUGGACAACACGUGACGCUGAGGCGCGAAAGUGUGGGGAGCAAAC